CACGCCGUAAACGGUGGGCGCUAGGUGUGGGGAAUAUUUUAACGUUCUCCGUGCCGUAGCUAACGCAUUAAGCGCCCCGCCUGGGGAGUACGGCCGCAAGGCUAAAACUCAAAGGAAUUGACGGGGGCCCGCACAAGCGGCGGAGCAUGCGGCUUAAUUCGAUGCAACGCGAAGAACCUUACCUGGGCUUGACAUGGAGAGUUUACCGGCAGAGAUGUCGGGUCCUUCGGGGCUCUCACACAGGUGG
rnacentral:rRNA from 1 species